rnacentral:rRNA from 1 species
GAUGAACGCUAGCGGCAGGCUUAAUACAUGCAAGUCGUGGGGCAGCAGGACUGUAGCACUACAGUUGCUGGCGACCGGCAAACGGGUGCGGAACACGUACGCAACUUACCCUGAACUGGGGGAUAGCCCGGGGAAACCCGGAUUAAUACCCCGUAAUAUAAUGGAGUGGCAUCACUUUAUUAUUAAAGCUCCGGCGGUUCGGGAUCGGCGUGCGGCUGAUUAGGUAGUUGGUUGAGGUAACGGCUCACCAAGCCUACGAUCAGUAACUGGUGUGAGAGCACGACCAGUGACACGGGCACUGGGACACGGGGCCGACUCGUACGGGAGGCAGCAGUAAGGAAUAUUGGGCUAUGGAGGCAACUAUGACCCAGCCAUGCCGCGUGGAGGAGGAAGGCCCUCUGGGUUGUAAACUUCUUUUAUAGGGGACGAAACCUGUGUAUUCUUACGCAGUUGACGGUACCCUAGGAAUAAGCACCGGCUAACUCCGUG